rnacentral:hammerhead_ribozyme from 1 species
AUUCACCUGAAGAGUCCCAAAUAAGACGAAAUGUGCAUCCUGGAU